rnacentral:rRNA from 1 species
UACGAAGGGAGCUAGCGUUGUUCGGAAUCACUGGGCGUAAAGCGCACGUAGGCGGGUGUGUCAGUCAGGGGUGAAAUCCCGGAGCUCAACUUCGGAACUGCCUUUGAUACUGAGAGUCUUGAGUCCGGGAGAGGUGAGUGGAACUGCGAGUGUAGAGGUGAAAUUCGUAGAUAUUCGCAAGAACACCAGUGGCGAAGGCGGCUCACUGGCCCGGUACUGACGCUGAGGUGCGAAAGCGUGGGGAGCAAACAGG